UACGUAGGGGCUAGCGUUAUCCGGAAUUACUGGGCGUAAAGGGUGCGUAGGCGGUCUUUCAAGCCAGAAGUGAAAGGCUACGGCUCAACCGUAGUAAGCUUUUGGAACUGUAAGACUUGAGUGCAGGAGAGGAGAGUGGAAUUCCUAGUGUAGCGGUGAAAUGCGUAGAUAUUAGGAGGAACACCAGUAGCGAAGGCGGCUCUCUGGACUGUAACUGACGCUGAGGCACGAAAGCCAGGGGAGCGAACGGGAUUAGAUACCCUGGUAGUCCCUGA
rnacentral:rRNA from 1 species